GAGUUGCGAACGGGUGAGUAACGCGUAGGUAACCUGCCUGGUAGCGGGGGAUAACUAUUGGAAACGAUAGCUAAUACCGCAUAAAAUUGAUUAUUGCAUGAUAGUCAAUUAAAAGGUGCAAUUGCAUCACUACCAGAUGGACCUGCGUUGUAUUAGCUAGUAGGUGAGGUAACGGCUCACCUAGGCGACGAUACAUAGCCGACCUGAGAGGGUGAUCGGCCACAUUGGGACUGAGACACGGCCCAGACUCC
rnacentral:rRNA from 1 species